GACGAACGCUGGCGGCGUGCUUAACACAUGCAAGUCGAACGAAGUGGCGAACGGGUGAGUAACGCGUAAUCAACCUGCCCUUCAGAGGGGGACAACAGUUGGAAACGACUGCUAAUACCGCAUACUGAAGGAGGGGAUUGCGUCUGCUUAGCUAGUUGGAGGGGUAACGGCCCACCAAGGCGAAGAUCAGUAGCCGGUCUGGAGGGAUGAACGGCCACAUUGGGACUGAGAAACGGCCCAGACUCCUACGGGAGGCAGCAGUGGGGAAUCUUCCGGAAUGGACGGAAGUCUUACGGGGCAACGCCGCGUGAGUGAUGACGGCCUUCGGGUUGUAAAGCUCUGUUAAUCGGGACGCGGUACCGGAAUAGAAAGCCACGGCUAACUACGUGCCAGCAGCCGCGGUAAUUC
rnacentral:rRNA from 1 species